GUGGGGAAUAUUGCACAAUGGGCGAAAGCCUGAUGCAGCAACGCCGCGUGAGGGAUGACGGCCUUCGGGUUGUAAACCUCUUUUAGUAGGGAAGAAGCGAAAGUGACGGUACCUGCAGAAAAAGCACCGGCUAACUACGUGCCAGCAGUCGCGGUAAUACGUAGGGUGCAAGCGUUGUCCGGAAUUAUUGGGCGUAAAGAGCUCGUAGGCGGCUUGUCGCGUCUGCCGUGAAAACCCAGGGCUCAACCCUGGGCGUGCGGUGGGUACGGGCAGGCUAGAGUGCGGUAGGGGAGAUUGGAAUUCCUGGUGUAGCGGUGGAAUGCGCAGAUAUCAGGAGGAACACCGAUGGCGAAGGCAGAUCUCUGGGCCGUAACUGACGCUGAGGAGCGAAAGCAUGGGGAGCGAACAGGAUUAGAUACCCCUGUAGUCC
rnacentral:rRNA from 1 species